ACGGAGGGUGCAAGCGUUAUCCGGAUUUAUUGGGUUUAAAGGGUCCGUAGGCGGAUUUGUAAGUCAGUGGUGAAAUCUCACAGCUCAACUGUGAAACUGCCAUUGAUACUGUAGGUCUUGAGUGCUGUUGAAGUAGCUGGAAUAAGUAGUGUAGCGGUGAAAUGCAUAGAUAUGACAUAGAACACCAAUUGCGAAGGCAGGUUACUAAGCAACAACUGACGCUCAUGGACGAAAGCGUGGGGAUCAAACAG
rnacentral:rRNA from 1 species